rnacentral:lncRNA from 1 species
AACGAUGAAUGGGCUCGGCCCUUGAAAUAUUGAAAUACGGAUCACAAGAUUCCCUUUUUGCUCACCCCACCUGGUACUCCAUGUCGUAGCUGGGCAGGAUGAUCCGCCCGUGCUUCCACUCGCCGCCCUGGUCCUCACGGAUGACCCACAGCAACUUGCUCUCCUGGCUGGCUUCCCGCACCACCUGCAGCGCCACCCCGCGGCCGCCCGUGGCCUGCUCCUUCCUGUUUAGGCUCUCUGGGAUUAGUGCUUCAGAAGCUAUGCUUCCCUGAAGUCAAAUGAGACCAGUUUAGUAUGCGUAUAUGGGAUUCCAGUUUGUGCCUCUUCAACCAUCCAAAGCCACAUCUGUCUACAUACCCUACAAGGUGUGACCUCUGCAAGGCCAAAAUCAGCACAGAUAACUAAAAGGCAGCUGUCUACAGAAGAGAAUUAAUAAUGGUGUCUGCUGAGGGAGGAUACACUGAUGCCAAAUCAGACCCUCAAAGAUCUUCUAAACCUAUGCUUCCCCUAUCAGAUCUUACUAUUACUGCUGUUAAUGAUAAUAAUUAAAGCUCAUUCUUGCAUAAUGCUUUACAGGUUA